AAUGAUGCGUGAGGGAUCGUAGUGUAAAACCCAUAGGCAAGCGAUAGCAUGCCAAGGACUUGAAGCGGAUAGCCCGACCCGAC
rnacentral:sRNA from 1 species